GGAGAGAUGGCCGAGGGGUCUAAAGCGUCGGAUUGCUAAUCCGUUGUACGAAUCAUACGUACCGAGGGUUCGAAUCCCUCUCUCUCCC
rnacentral:tRNA from 1 species